rnacentral:piRNA from 4 species
AAAGAUUUCCGUGGAGAGGAACAA